rnacentral:rRNA from 1 species
UACGUAGGGUGCGAGCGUUGUCCGGAAUUAUUGGGCGUAAAGAGCUCGUAGGCGGUCUGUCGCGUCGGUCGUGAAAACUUGGGGCUUAACCCUGAGCUUGCGGUCGAUACGGGCAUGACUGGAGUUCGGCAGGGGAGACUGGAAUUCCUGGUGUAGCGGUGAAAAUGCGCAGAUAUCAGGAGGAACACCGGUGGCGAAGGCGGGUCUCUGGGCCGAUACUGACGCUGAGGAGCGAAAGCGUGGGGAGCGAACAGG